CAGCCGCCGCGGUAAUACGUAGGGUGCGAGCGUUAAUCGGAAUUACUGGGCGUAAAGCGUGCGCAGGCGGUUGUGUAAGACAGGUGUGAAAUCCCCGGGCUUAACCUGGGAACUGCGCUUGUGACUGCACAGCUAGAGUAUGGCAGAGGGGGGUGGAAUUCCACGUGUAGCAGUGAAAUGCGUAGAGAUGUGGAGGAACACCGAUGGCGAAGGCAGCCCCCUGGGCCAAUACUGACGCUCAUGCACGAAAGCGUGGGGAGCAAACAGGAUUAGAUACCCGAGUAGUCCCUGUCUCUUAUAC
rnacentral:rRNA from 1 species